rnacentral:rRNA from 1 species
GACGAACGCUGGCGGCGUGCCUAAUACAUGCAAGUUGAGCGCUGAAGGUUGGUACUUGUACCAACUGGAUGAGCAGCGAACGGGUGAGUAACGCGUGGGGAAUCUGCCUUUGAGCGGGGGACAACAUUUGGAAACGAAUGCUAAUACCGCAUAAAAACUUUAAACACAAGUUUUAAGUUUGAAAGAUGCAAUUGCAUCACUCAAAGAUGAUCCCGCGUUGUAUUAGCUAGUUGGUGAGGUAAAGGCUCACCAAGGCGAUGAUACAUAGCCGACCUGAGAGGGUGAUCGGCCACAUUGGGACUGAGACACGGCCCAAACUCCUACGGGAGGCAGCAGUAGGGAAUCUUCGGCAAUGGACGAAAGUCUGACCGAGCAACGCCGCGUGAGUGAAGAAGGUUUUCGGAUCGUAAAACUCUGUUGGUAGAGAAGAACGUUGGUGAGAGUGGAAAGAUCAUCAAGUGACGGUAACUACCCAGAAAGGGACGGCUAACUACGUG